rnacentral:rRNA from 1 species
GGCUGUCGUCAGCUCGUGUCGUGAGAUGUUGGUUAAGUCCGCAACGAGCGCAACCCUUGUCUUUAAUUGCCAGCAUUCAGUUGGGCACUUUAAGAGACUGCCGGUGUUAAGCCGGAGGAAGGUGGGGAUGACGUCAAGUCCUCAUGGCCUUUAUGCCCAGGGCUACACACGUGCUACAAUGGGUGGUACAAAGAGAUGCCAACUCGCGAGAGCGCGCCAAUCUCAGAAAGCCAUCCUCAGUUCGGAUUGGAGUCUGCAACUCGACUCCAUGAAGUUGGAAUCGCUAGUAAUCGCGGAUCAGCACGCCGCGGUGAAUACGUUCCCGGGCCUU